rnacentral:rRNA from 1 species
GAGUUUGAUCCUGGCUCAGAAUGAACGCUGGCGGCGUGCCUAAGACAUGCAAGUCGCACGAGAUAGUAGCUUCGGCUAUGUGUAAAGUGGCGCACGGGUGAGUACAACUUAGGUAAUGUGCCUGCUCGCUGAGAAUAACCAGGCGAAAGCUUGGCUAAUACUGAAUACCCCGGCAGGAACUGCGGUUCUUUUCGGGAAAGCCGCAAGGCGCGAGUAGAGCAGCCUGAGUCCCAUUAGCUAGUUGGUGAGGUAACGGCUCACAAAGGCGACGAUGGGUAGCUGGUCUGAGAGGAUGAUCAGCCACACUGGAACUGGAAUACGGUCCAGACUCCUACGGGAGGCAGCAGUUAGGAAUUUUGCGCAAUGGGGGAAACCCUGACGCAGCAACGCCGCGUGAAGGAUGAAGGCCUUCGGGUUGUAAACUUCUUUUAGUAGGGACGAAAAAAAUGACGGUACCUGCAGAAAAAGCACCGGCUAACUCUGUGCCAGCAGCCGCGGUAAUACAGAGGGUGCGAGCGUUAUUCGGAUUCAUUGGGCGUAAAGCGCAUGUAGGCGGUUUGAUAAGUUUGAUGUGAAAUCCCAGAGCUCAAAUCUGGAAGUGCAUUGAAUACUGUCGAACUAGAGUAUAGGAGAGGAGAGCGGAAUUUCUGGUGUAGAGGUGAAAUUCGUAGAUAUCAGAAGGAACAACAGUGGCGAAGGCGGCUCUCUGGACUAUCACUGACGCUGAGAUGCGAAAGCGUGGGGAGCAAACAGGAUUAGAUACCCUGGUAGUCCACGCUGUAAACGAUGGGUACUAGAUAUCGGGAGCUCUUACUCUCUCGGUGUCGCAGCUAACGCGUUAAGUACCCCGCCUGGGAAGUACGGCCGCAAGGUUAAAACUCAAAGAAAUUGACGGGGGCCCGCACAAGCGGUGGAGUAUGUGGUUUAAUUCGAUGCAACGCGAAGGACCUUACCUAGGCUUGACAUCCCGCGCUACCCUAUGAAAGUAGGGGUUCCCUUCGGGGACGCGGUGACAGGUGCUGCAUGGCUGUCGUCAGCUCGUGUCGUGAGAUGUUGGGUUAAGUCCCGCAACGAGCGCAACCCUUGCUAUUAGUUGCCAGUAUUAAGUUAGGCACUCUAAUAGGACCGCUAGCCGAUAAGGCAGAGGAAGGUGGGGAUGACGUCAAGUCCGCAUGGCCCUUACGCCUAGGGCCACACACGUACUACAAUGGCCAAUACAAAGCGUCGCAAGACCGUGAGGUGGAGCUAAUCGCAUAAAGUUGGUCUCAGUUCGGAUUGGAGUCUGCAACUCGACUCCAUGAAGUUGGAAUCGCUAGUAAUCGCGGAUCAGCAUGCCGCGGUGAUACGUUCCCGGCCUUGCACACAC